rnacentral:lncRNA from 1 species
GAUUUUGAAAUCAGGCUUUCUGCAUCAUAGCCCAUAUCUGAAGGUGUAGGGCUUUGAGGCCUUGUUGGGCUUUGAGGCCUUGCGUACACAGGAUUAGCCACUUGUUCUUCAGAUCUUUGAAGCCCAAUUACAGAGUUACUUCUCAGGGCUGGAAUUGAUACCGAUGUCCUGGGAGGUAAUGGUUCUGACAUUAGAGAGACUUCUGGCAUUGAUCUUUUGUCAGAAACACUUCUGCUUCGGCUAAAGGUAAUAG